rnacentral:tRNA from 3 species
GGGCGGAUAGCUCAGCGGGAGAGCAUCGGCCUUACAAGCCGGGGGUCACAGGUUCAAAUCCUGUUCCGCCCACCA